rnacentral:rRNA from 1 species
GGAGACCCUUAGGAAACUAGGGGGUGCUUCCAUCUGGAAGAAUCUGGAGACAGGUGCUGCAUGGCUGUCGUCAGCUCGUGUCGUGAGAUGUUGGGUUAAGUCCCGCAACGAGCGCAACCCUUGCCUUUAGUUGCUAGCAGUUCGGCUGGGCACUCUAAAGGGACUGCCGGUGUUAAACCGGAGGAAGGUGGGGAUGACGUCAAGUCCUCAUGGCCUUUAUGACCAGGGCUACACACGUACUACAAUGGCCGAUACAAAGGGCAGCGACACUGCGAGGUGAAGCCAAUCCCGUAAAAUCGGUCUCAGUCCGGAUUGGAGUCUGCAACUCGACUCCAUGAAGUUGGAAUCGCUAGUAAUCGUGGAUCAGCAUGCCACGGUGAAUACGUUCCCGGGCCCU